CAGUAGCCGCGGUAAUACGUAGGUGGCAAGCGUUGUCCGGAUUUAUUGGGCGUAAAGCGAGCGCAGGCGGUUCCUUAAGUCUGAUGUGAAAGCCCACGGCUCAACCGUGGAAGGUCAUUGGAGACUGGGGAACUUGAGUGCAGAAGAGGAGAGUGGAAUUCCAUGUGUAGCGGUGAAGUGCGUAGAUAUAUGGAGGAACACCAGUGGCGAAGGCGACUCUCUGGUCUGUAACUGACGCUGAGGCGCGAAAGCGUGGGGAGCAAACAGGAUUAGAUACCCCUGUAGUCCCUGUCUCUUAUAC
rnacentral:rRNA from 1 species